GUUUGGCGUCUUUCAGUCUUUGAGUCUUUUUGUCCGGACGUCCGGACUGUGCGCAGACAGAGCGCGACUCGCUUAUUAUUCCAGCAGUACACGGUAUACUUCAGUAACGCAUUUUGAAUAUUGGCUUACCUUUUCUCAAAGGAUUUAAGAUUUUUCAAAAAGGAGAGAAGUUUAACGUCUGUUGGUUUCUGUCAUCCAGAACAUAUACAUAUACCUAGAGCGCCAUUCGUUUAUCGUAUUUGCAGUACCCAGUUUACUUCAAUAAUGCAUUCAGCAAUUGGCUUACAUUUUUAAAGUAUUAAAGUUUGCGGAAACAAGAAAUUAUGGAUAGUAGCAGCAAUUGUAAUCAAAACAAACAAUUUUAUCUAAGUGAUGCAGUUAUUAAUGACUAAAUGAAAUUAAUAAUUACAUAUUAUGAAUCGGAUGUAUAUGUUUUUGUCAAAAGAAGGUCGAAAAAAAUUGAUUUAUUUUUGAAAAAAAAGCUGAUAUUUCCAAUAAAUUUAAAGGCAAUUAGUUAUUGGGCUUGGAGUAUUUUGCACAGACCAUUGGAGCUAAAACAAUCAAUUAAUUCCCUAAUCCUAAAACUAGGGAAUGGCUAUGACUAUAUUUGCUGAGUAUUAAGGAAGGGGUGCCACGUUUAAUUUUCACAAACACACAUGAGGUUGUUUAGACACCUGAUUUGUAGGAGCUCCUUAAAAAAAAUAGUGCCUGCAUGUACACAAGAAUAGAAUCGUUUGUCAGGAAGAUCCAUAACUAGUAGUGAUGAAUCUAUUUCUUUUGUAUCUACAUCUACAUGUCGGGUGAUGUUUUGACCCUCUAAAUUGGUUAUGCUCACUAAAUAUUCAGCAUCUGUACAUUCAAAUAUUAUAAAUAUUUAAAUUGUUGGAAAUAGAAGUUUUUAAAAAAUCAAUUUUGUUUAUCCAACUUUUAACCGAGUUAUAGAUUUGCUUUCAUUUAAGUUUAAAUAUAAAAUGUGUUGAAAACAUAUACAAUGAGGAGGAGUAUGUGGUCAUUUAGAUAAAAGCUUGUUUCACGAAUGAUGCUAAUAUAUGCUGCAAAAAUUAGCCCAUAACUUUCACAAACCAAAUUUUGUGUCAAUGGUCAUCAAUCAUCAUAUAACCGACAUUUCAUACUUUUAAACUUUACAAAGUUUACACAUGCAGAGUAACUAGUUCAGUCUGAAAACACAUUGAUGUCAGUCGUGGAAUGAUGGUGCUGGUGUUAUGAACAAAUUUUUGUGUUAUGGACUAUAAUACGUUAUUCAUUUUAUUGUAUUGUUUUUAAUUGUAAUAUUGGAAUAAUUAUAUACAA